UACCAGCUCUCCGAGUGGUGUGGAUGUUUAUUGGGCCUAAAGCAUCCGUAGCUGGCUGGGCAAGUCCCCUGUUAAAUCCACCGAUUUAAUCGUUGGUGUGCGGGGGAUACUGUUCGACUAGGGGACGGGAGAGGCCGACGGUAUUUUCGGGGUAGGGGUGAAAUCCUAUAAUCCCGGGAAGACCACCAGUGGCGAAGGCUGUCGGCUAGAACGCGCCCGACGGUGAGGGAUGAAAGCUGGGGGAGCGAACCGGAUUAGAUACCCGGGUAGUCCCAGCUGUAAACGAUGCAGGCUAGGUGUUUGGGCGGCCACGUGCCGCUCUAGUGCCGCAGAGAAGCCGUUAAGCCUGCCGCCUGGGGAGUACGGCCGCAAGGCUGAAACUUAAAGGAAUUGGCGGGGGAACACCACAAGGGGUGAAGCUUGCGGUUU
rnacentral:rRNA from 1 species